CACGUAGUUAGCCGGUGCUUAUUCUUCAGGUACCGUCAUUAGUGAAGGAUAUUAGCCCUCACCGUUUCUUCCCUGACAAAAGAGCUUUACAACCCGAAGGCCUUCUUCACUCACGCGGCAUUGCUGGAUCAGGCUUUCGCCCAUUGUCCAAAAUUCCCCACUGCUGCCUCCCGUAGGAGUCUGGACCGUGUCUCAGUUCCAGUGUGGCUGGUCGUCCUCUCAGACCAGCUACUGAUCGUGGCCUUGGUGAGCCUUUACCUCACCAACUAGCUAAUCAGAUAUCGGCCGCUCCAGGAGCACAAGGUCCGAAGAUCCCCUGCUUUCAUCCUUAGAUCGUAUGCGGUAUUAGCGUAACUUUCGCUACGUUAUCCCCCACUCUUGGGUACGUUCCGAUAUAUUACUCACCCGUUCGCCACUCGCCGCCAGGUUGCCCCGCGCUGCCGUUCGACUUGCAUGUGUAAAGCAUGCCGCCAGCGUUCAAUCUGAGCCAGGAUCAAA
rnacentral:rRNA from 1 species